rnacentral:rRNA from 1 species
GGUUAAGCGACUAAGCGUACACGGUGGAUGCCCUGGCAGUCAGAGGCGAUGAAGGGCGUGCUAAUCUGCGAUAAGCGCCGGUAAGGUGAUAUGAACCGUUAUAACCGGCGAUACCCGAAUGGGGAAACCCAGUGUGAUUCGUCACACUAUCAUUAACUGAAUCCAUAGGUUAAUGAGGCGAACCGGGGGAACUGAAACAUCUAAGUACCCCGAGGAAAAGAAAUCAACCGAGAUUCCCCCAGUAGCGGCGAGCGAACGGGGAGGAGCCCAGAGCCUGAAUCAGCAUGUGUGUUAGUGGAAGCGUCUGGAAAGGCGCGCGAUACAGGGUGACAGCCCCGUACACAAAAGCGCAUGUGCUGUGAGCUCGAUGAGUAGGGCGGGACACGUGGUAUCCUGUCUGAAUAUGGGGGGACCAUCCUCCAAGGCUAAAUACUCCUGACUGACCGAUAGUGAACCAGUACCGUGAGGGAAAGGCGAAAAGAACCCCGGCGAGGGGAGUGAAAAAGAACCUGAAACCGUGUACGUACAAGCAGUGGGAGCCCCACCACCAAAGCAUUCUCUGGUGUUGAAGGCCCUGCAAAGCAGCAUCGCGGUGGCGGAGCGUCGUUUGCGACGCCCAACGCACAAAACAAGCGGUGAGUGCUUUGGGGUGGGGUGACUGCGUACCUUUUGUAUAAUGGGUCAGCGACUUAUAUUCUGUAGCAAGGUUAACCGAAUAGGGGAGCCGGAGGGAAACCGAGUCUUAAUUGGGCGUUAAGUUGCAGGGUAUAGACCCGAAACCCGGUGAUCUAGCCAUGGGCAGGUUGAAGGUUGGGUAACACUAACUGGAGGACCGAACCGACUAAUGUUGAAAAAUUAGCGGAUGACCUGUGGCUGGGGGUGAAAGGCCAAUCAAACCGGGAGAUAGCUGGUUCUCCCCGAAAGCUAUUUAGGUAGCGCCUCGUGAAUUCAUCUCCGGGGGUAGAGCACUGUUUCGGCUAGGGGGCCAUCCCGGCUUACCAACCCGAUGCAAACUGCGAAUACCGGAGAAUGUUAUCACGGGAGACACACGGCGGGUGCUAACGUCCGUCGUGAAGAGGGAAACAACCCAGACCGCCAGCUAAGGUCCCAAAGUCAUGGUUAAGUGGGAAACGAUGUGGGAAGGCCCAGACAGCCAGGAUGUUGGCUUAGAAGCAGCCAUCAUUUAAAGAAAGCGUAAUAGCUCACUGGUCGAGUCGGCCUGCGCGGAAGAUGUAACGGGGCUAAACCAUGCACCGAAGCUGCGGCAGCGAACGUAUCACCCAAGACAACUUUACGGAGUUGACGAUUGACGGAGCGAAGCGACGUCAAAGCGUUCAUUAAAGUCGAGUUGGCUUAGGGAUACGUUCGUUGGGUAGGGGAGCGUUCUGUAAGCCUGCGAAGGUGGCCUGUGAGGGUUGCUGGAGGUAUCAGAAGUGCGAAUGCUGACAUAAGUAACGAUAAAGCGGGUGAAAAGCCCGCUCGCCGGAAGACCAAGGGUUCCUGUCCAACGUUAAUCGGGGCAGGGUGAGUCGACCCCUAAGGCGAGGCCGAAAGGCGUAGUCGAUGGGAAACGGGUUAAUAUUCCCGUACUUGGUGUUACUGCGAAGGGGGGACGGAGAAGGCUAUGUUGGCCGGGCGACGGUUGUCCCGGUUUAAGCGUGUAGGUGUGUGUUCCAGGUAAAUCCGGUUCACUUUAACACUGAGGCGUGAUGACGAGGCACUACGGUGCUGAAGCAACAAAUGCCCUGCUUCCAGGAAAAGCCUCUAAGCAUCAGGUAACAUCAAAUCGUACCCCAAACCGACACAGGUGGUCAGGUAGAGAAUACCAAGGCGCUUGAGAGAACUCGGGUGAAGGAACUAGGCAAAAUGGUGCCGUAACUUCGGGAGAAGGCACGCUGACACGUAGGUGAAGUGAUUUACUCAUGGAGCUGAAGUCAGUCGAAGAUACCAGCUGGCUGCAACUGUUUAUUAAAAACACAGCACUGUGCAAACACGAAAGUGGACGUAUACGGUGUGACGCCUGCCCGGUGCCGGAAGGUUAAUUGAUGGGGUCAGCGCAAGCGAAGCUCCUGAUCGAAGCCCCGGUAAACGGCGGCCGUAACUAUAACGGUCCUAAGGUAGCGAAAUUCCUUGUCGGGUAAGUUCCGACCUGCACGAAUGGCGUAAUGAUGGCCAGGCUGUCUCCACCCGAGACUCAGUGAAAUUGAACUCGCUGUGAAGAUGCAGUGUACCCGCGGCAAGACGGAAAGACCCCGUGAACCUUUACUAUAGCUUGACACUGAACAUUGAGCCUUGAUGUGUAGGAUAGGUGGGAGGCUUUGAAGUGUGGACGCCAGUCUGCAUGGAGCCGACCUUGAAAUACCACCCUUUAAUGUUUGAUGUUCUAACGUGGACCCGUUACCCGGGUUGCGGACAGUGUCUGGUGGGUAGUUUGACUGGGGCGGUCUCCUCCUAAAGAGUAACGGAGGAGCACGAAGGUUGGCUAAUCCUGGUCGGACAUCAGGAGGUUAGUGCAAUGGCAUAAGCCAGCUUGACUGCGAGCGUGACGGCGCGAGCAGGUGCGAAAGCAGGUCAUAGUGAUCCGGUGGUUCUGAAUGGAAGGGCCAUCGCUCAACGGAUAAAAGGUACUCCGGGGAUAACAGGCUGAUACCGCCCAAGAGUUCAUAUCGACGGCGGUGUUUGGCACCUCGAUGUCGGCUCAUCACAUCCUGGGGCUGAAGUAGGUCCCAAGGGUAUGGCUGUUCGCCAUUUAAAGUGGUACGCGAGCUGGGUUUAGAACGUCGUGAGACAGUUCGGUCCCUAUCUGCCGUGGGCGCUGGAGAACUGAGGGGGGCUGCUCCUAGUACGAGAGGACCGGAGUGGACGCAUCACUGGUGUUCGGGUUGUCAUGCCAAUGGCACUGCCCGGUAGCUAAAUGCGGAAGAGAUAAGUGCUGAAAGCAUCUAAGCACGAAACUUGCCCCGAGAUGAGUUCUCCCUGAGACUUAGAGUCUCCUGAAGGAACGUUGAAGACGACGACGUUGAUAGGCCGGGUGUGUAAGCGCAGCGAUGCGUUGAGCUAACCGGUACUAAUGAACCGUGAGGCUUAACCUU